GAUGAACGCUGGCGGCGUGCCUAAUACAUGCAAGUCGAACGCUGAAGGAGGAGCUUGCUCUUCUGGAUGAGUUGCGAACGGGUGAGUAACGCGUAGGUAACCUGCCUGGUAGCGGGGGAUAACUAUUGGAAACGAUAGCUAAUACCGCAUGACAACAGUUAUUGCAUGAUAACUGUUUAAAAGGGGCAACUGCUCCACUACCAGAUGGACCUGCGUUGUAUUAGCUAGUUGGUGAGGUAACGGCUCACCAAGGCGACGAUACAUAGCCGACCUGAGAGGGGGAUCGGCCACACUGGGACUGAGACACGGCCCAGACUCCUACGGGAGGCAGCAGGAGGGAAUCUUCGGCAAUGGACGGAAGUCUGACCGAGCAACGCCGCGGGAGGGAAGAAGGGUUUCGGAUCGUAAAGCUCUGUUGUAAGAGAAGAACGAGUGGGGGAGUGGAAAGUUCACACUGUGACGGUAUCUUACCAGAAAGGGACGGCUAACUACGUG
rnacentral:rRNA from 1 species